rnacentral:rRNA from 1 species
GACGAACGCUGGCGGCGUGCUUAACACAUGCAAGUCGAACGGAAAGGCCCUGCUUUUGUGGGGUGCUCGAGUGGCGAACGGGUGAGUAACACGUGAGUAACCUGCCCUUGACUUUGGGAUAACUUCAGGAAACUGGGGCUAAUACCGGAUAGGAGCUCCUGCUGCAUGGUGGGGGUUGGAAAGUUUCGGCGGUUGGGGAUGGACUCGCGGCUUAUCAGCUUGUUGGUGGGGUAGUGGCUUACCAAGGCUUUGACGGGUAGCCGGCCUGAGAGGGUGACCGGGCACCUUGGGGCUGGGGUACGGCCCAGGACCCUACCGGGGGGAAGAGGGGGGGAUAUUGCCACAUGGGCGGAAGCCUGAUGCAGCAACGCCGCGUGCGGGAUGACGGCCUUCGGGUUGUAAACCGCUUUCGCCUGUGACGAAGCGUGAGUGACGGUAAUGGGUAAAGAAGCACCGGCUAACUACGUG